rnacentral:misc_RNA from 1 species
GAUGAAGAACGUAGCGAACUGCGAUAAGUAAUGUGAAUUGCAGAAUUCAGUGAAUCAUCGAGUCUUUGAACGCACAUUGCGCCCCCUGGCAUUCCGGGGGGCAUGCCUGUCCGAGCGUCAUUGCUGCCCUUCAAGCCCGGCUUGUGUGUUGGGUCGUCGUCCCCCCCGGGGGACGGGCCCGAAAGGCAGCGGCGGCACCGCGUCCGGUCCUCGAGCGUAUGGGGCUUUGUCACCCGCUCGAUUAGGGCCGGCCGGGCGCCAGCCGGCGUCUCCAACCUUCUAUUUUACCAGGUUGACCUCGGAUCAGGUAGGGAUACCCGCUGAACUUAAGCCUAUCAAUAAGCGGAGGA